rnacentral:tRNA from 1 species
GGGGCCGUAGCUCAAUUGGAUAGAGCAGUUCCGUCCUAAGGAAACGGUUGGGGGUUCGACUCCCUCCGGCCUCACCA